rnacentral:rRNA from 1 species
UACGGAGGGUGCAAGCGUUAUCCGGAUUUACUGGGUUUAAAGGGUGCGUAGGUGGGCCUGUAAGUCAGUGGUGAAAUCUUCAAGCUUAACUUGGAAACUGCCAUUGAUACUAUAGGUCUUGAAUUAUCUGGAGGUAAGCGGAAUAUGUCAUGUAGCGGUGAAAUGCAUAGAUAUGUCACAGAACACCAAUUGCGAAGGCAGCUUACUAUGGUUUUAUUGACACUGAGGCACGAAAGCGUGGGGAUCAAACAGG